CCACGGACCGUUUGCUCUGGUCACGCUCCAGCUGCACUCAGGGGCGUAUUUAAGUUGUUGCAGUUAAAAAGCUCGUAGUUGGAUUUCGGGUGGGUUUCAGCGGUCCGCCUAUGGUGAGUACUGCUGUGGCCUUCCUUACUGUCGGGGACCUGCUUCUGGGCUUCAUUGUCCGGGACAGGGAUUCGGCAUGGUUACUUUGAGUAAAUUGGAGUGUUCAAAGCAGGCUUACGCCGUGAACAUUUUAGCAUGGAAUAACAUGAUAGGACUCUGCCCUAUUCUGUUGGCCUGUAGGAGUGGAGUAAUGAUUAAGAGGAACAGUCGGGGGCAUUCGUAUUUCAUUGUCAGAGGUGAAAUUCUUGGAUUUAUGAAAGACGAACUACUGCGAAAGCAUUUGCCAAGGAUGUUUUCAUUAAUCAAGAACGAAAGUUGGGGGCUCGAAGACCAUCGCAUACCCGCGUAGUCAGG
rnacentral:rRNA from 1 species